rnacentral:rRNA from 1 species
AGCAGCCGCGGUAAUUCCAGCUCCAACAGCGUAUAUUAAAGUUGUUGCAGUUAAAAAGCUCGUAGUUGAAUUUUGGAUUCGGCCAAUUGGUCCAUCUUUUAGAUGAGUACUGGUUGUGUUGGGUCUAUCCGCCUGGUGAUACGUAAUGUCCUUUAUUGGGUGUUGCGGGUAGUCAGGACCUUUACCUUGAAAAAUUAGAGUGUUUAAAGCAGGCUUAUGCCGGAAUACAUUAGCAUGGAAUAAUAGAAUAGGACGAAGUUGUUUUAUUUUGUUGGUUUCUAGGACAACCGUAAUGAUUAAUAGGGAUAGUUGGGGGCAUUAGUAUUCAAUUGUCAGAGGUGAAAUUCUUGGAUUUAUUGAAGACUAACUACUGCGAAAGCAUUUGCCAAGGAUGUUUUCAUUAAUCAAGAACGAAAGUUGGGGGAUCGAAGACGAUCAGAUACCGUCGUAGUCUUAACCAUAAACUAUGCCGACUAGGGAUCGGGCGAUGUGUUUCCAUGACUCGCUCGGCACCUUAUG